UUCUUCUUCUUCUUCUUCUUCUGGCUCCAUUUGAAAUAUCAGGAGACGGAAACAAUGCAAAGGCAAGAAACACAACCCCUCAGGAAGUUUGAGUGUGAUUCUGGUGCAUUCUGAGGGAGGGUAUGUGUGUGUGUUGGGGGGUGGUGGUGUUGCGUGUUCCAUAUCUAUGUGUGGAAGGAAUCCUGGACAACCUCUGAUGUCAUUCCUUAGGAUCUCUCUCUCUCUCUCUCUCUCUCUCUCUCUCUCUCUCUCUCUCUCUCGAUUGUCAGUUUUACCUGGAACUCACUGAGUAGGUCUGGCUGUCUCCCUGCCUGUCUCCACCCUUCUGGUGUCGGAAUGACAAGCACACACGACUCUCUUCUGCUUUCUUUUAGAUGGUUCCUCAAGCAUGCCUGACACACACUUCACUGACUGAGCUGCCUCCCCAGCCCUGAUUGGUCUGAAGUCUUCAAGUGCUUCUGCAAAGUUGGUGCUGGACACACCAGUCUGAGCUCUUGAGCAAAUCACUCUGCUGUGCCCACAGCACAGUCGUGACACACAACCAUCACGACCCAUGAAUCAUGCACUUCUGCUGUUUGCAUUUCUGCUGAGAAGACGGAGGCAUAGCACACUGGACAGCAGACAGCAGGCAGAGCUUCGGAUCACAGUGAGGCAGUCACACUGAAAUGCUCUUUUCCAGUGGUUCAUCAUAUUGGAGUCUGCACCCACUGAAGCUGCCUUCUAGACCCUGGAGUGUGCUUUUGACCUAGGAAAGAAAUACUAUCCGUACUGUUCACAGAAGGACAAUCCUGUUCUCGGAUUCAUUAAAACUUCUCCAACCACAGCAGCCUUCAGUCACUCAUUACAUUAAAGGUGAUGAACCUCGUCAUCUGUUUACCGGAAUCUACAUGACUGGAAGAAAAGUCAACAUGACGGCUUCCAAGCCCUUUGACCUUUUCUUGCUUCGAUUUUCCACAUCUUAGUUUCUACAUCUGGUCAAUGGGAAAUGCUAUAUCUGAGGCAUGGUGUGGUACUCAGGAACUCAGUGUUCUCUGCUCUAGGAAUUCUGGUGGAGAGGGUAUACCUGAUUGUCUUAAGUCUUCAAUCCAGAUCUAAGCUUUUUUUUUUAAACCACCAAACACCAAUGAGGAAACUGAAACUCACUAAGAUUUAAAACUUUACCCAAGGUUAUAGAAGUAUGCAAACAAGAUUCAGAAUGAGGUUUCUGCUCUUGGAUGUUGUGUCCUUCGCACACCACACCUCAGACUCAAAAACAUUGUCAAAAUAUUCUAUAUGAUUUCUUAUAACUAUUUUGGGCCAUUAUUACAACAUAGUUAUUUGAAAACACAUACUUUAUACAUAGGAGAACACCACUGUUAAACAGAGCUUGUGGAUAAUAACACUGAUGAAUAUUAUUGAUUGGUUCCUAGUGUCACAGGAAAGGCAUCCAGACUCUAGUAGAAUAUUCUAACCUGACUUUGCCAUUCCUUCCAGGAUCAAGGGAAGGCAGUGGAAAGGUGGGGCAUUUCUACAUCCACAGUCAUUUGUGAGAGAUGUGUAAAGUGUUCAUUUUGACUAUAAGUCAUCGCUUGGAUAAGAUCAAAUUGAAUUUGUAUUUCCUUUGACACAGAUUGGAAUCAGUGAUGUGUUUUCCACUCCUGUGCAGGGAGAAGGAAGAAAAUCCUCUUAGCAAAUCUCCUUGACUUUUUCAAGGUAUUUGGCAUCUCUUUAUAAAAAGCAACAGGAUGUUAAGGCACAGAGUUUAGGCCCCAAGGUUGAAAAUAAUGUAUGCUUGGGAUCCCAUAGUACAAUGGGAUUUUAAUGAGGAAAAACACUGUUUUCACAUGGGGGGGUUGUUCAAUCAUUUGCCCACUGCCUACUCCAUAAGAGCACUUUUAACAGAGAUCUGAAGCAGUGAGAAUCAGAAUCAAGACUCAAGACGGGUUUUUCUAGGAACAGGUAUGUUGGAGGCAAAGGCUAUGGGAUCCGAGUGUGGGGUAGGGUUGAUAACUCACCCAACAGUGGUGUGGCAGGAGUAGAUUGGGAAUGGUGAAGGAAGAAUCCAGUUUGUGCAAGAUUUUCACUGUAAUCUGAAAGCAGAUGGAUAGACAGUGGAGGGAGGAUUUUGAACCAAAGUACUAAUUCAAUUUCAAUUUCAAUUACAAUACUGGUUUGGGGGACAGAGUUGAAUGGGAGCAGAAGGAAGCAGAAGUGAUCAAUUGUGAAAACAAUGCAUUCAUUUGGGGGAUUGAUGAAAGGUAUCAGAAAGAACAGUGACAGUAUUGAUCUACACUGAAGGCAUGGUCACUGAGUAUAGACAUCACUAUGCCUCCAAGGGAAUGGGCAGAUUCAAAGAAGACUUCCAGAGUUUUCCUCUGAGAAAGGGUUAAUAAUGGAGUCUCCAGUAGCACUGGAAAGGAGGGUCUCAAGUGAAAAUCCAGAACUUGAUUUAGAACAUAGUAAUGAUGUUUAAGCAACUGGUCUGUAGGAAGCUAGCUACAUCAGGAGGGAAUCGAGGGCUGAGAAUUUGUGUGCUCUGUGUAUAUGGAUAGUCUUGAAGAACUCAAGGUAGCAUUUGAUGUAUUUGGAGCUUAAAUAUAGAUAAAGAAAAGAUUUGUGGUUGAUCCAUGGACCACUGCAACAUUUUAAGACUUAGCAGAGAAUGAAGAGAGGGAUUUGGAAAUGGUCUCCAUUUACAAAAGCAAGGAAAAGGGGGCAGGAAUCAGGGGUUUAGUGCUUGAUGCUCUUAUAUAGGACCUGCCCUGACUCCUUUCCCAGAAGUCACCUCAAGCAAGUCACGACUGACUAUCUCAGAGGAGUGCUGUGCUGUGUCUCUGGUCUCUGUGGACACCUGUAUUCAUGUCUCCUAUCCAUACAUAGACAUAGACACAUAAUUAAAAAUAGUAAAAAAAAAUCUUGAAAAAUAAAAAGAAAUAGAAAAUUUACACACAUACACACACACACAUACACACACAUAUGCACACACAUCCACCUACACACAUACACACUUCACUGAGGCAGUAUAGUAGAGAGGACAAUGCUGAACUCCUUAAGGUGCAUUAAGAAAAACCCAAAGAGCCUUGGAAGAGAAACUUCACCUGCUCUUGCCUGUGUGAACAAAUGACUUUGGGAUUUUAGAGGAAGA
rnacentral:sRNA from 1 species